AGGAUGAAUCUCUCCUAUGACUAAAUUGGCCAUGCUCUCCAUUGUCGCUGAAAUCACAGAAUGUGACCGUAUUUGAAAUAAUGGUCUCUGCAGAUGGGAUUAAGUGCCUGCUGCUACUAAGAUAUUGAAUAGAUUUGCCCAACGAAUGAAUGGAGUGGAAUGAGUUUUUAUGGACAAUACCUGCUGGUCAAGGAUUUUGCCAGUAGGAGACGGCCGUUGUAACUAAUUGAACCCUCUAGAAGAAAAAUAAUUUGUUUAGGAUAUUGUCCUGUUUUUGACUUCUGAGCCUUUGUGAAUAUACUAUAAUAAAAA